UGGGGAAUUUUGGACAAUGGGCGCAGGCCUGAUCCAGCCAUGCCGCGUGCGGGAAGAAGGCCUUCGGGUUGUAAACCGCUUUUGUCAGGGAAGAAAUCCUUUGGGCUAAUACCUCGGAGGGAUGACGGUACCUGAAGAAUAAGCACCGGCUAACUUCGUGCCAGCAGCCGCGGUAAUACGAAGGGUGCAAGCGUUACUCGGAAUUACUGGGCGUAAAGCGUGAGUAGGUGGUUUCUUAAGUCUGCUGUGAAAGCCCCGGGCUCAACCUGGGAACUGCCUUUGUGACUGCAAGGCUGGAGUGCGGCAGAGGGGGAUGGAAUUCCGCGUGUAGCAGUGAAAUGCGUAGAUAUGCGGAGGAACACCGAUGGCGAAGGCAAUCCCCUGGGCCUGCACUGACGCUCAUGCACGAGAGCGUGGGGAGCAAACA
rnacentral:rRNA from 1 species